UCAAGCUGUAAAGGGCGCAAGGGGAAUGCCUUGGCACUGAGAGCCGACGAAGGACGCGACAAGCUGCGAUAAGCUACGGGGAGCCGCAAAUGGGCUUUGAUCCGUAGAUUUCCGAAUGGGGAAACCCGGCAGAGCAAUACUCUGUCAACAUGUACUGAAUACAUAGGUACAUGUGGGGAACCGCCUGAACUGAAACAUCUAAGUAGGGCGAGGAAGAGAAAUCAACCGAGAUUCCGCUAGUAGUGGCGAGCGAACGCGGAAGAGGCCAAACCGGAGGUAGCAAUAUUUCCGGGGUUAGGACUGCAAUAUGUAACUUUAAUCUUUAACUGAAUGCUUUGGGAAGAGCAGCGAAACAGGGUGACAGCCCCGUAAGUGAAAAGGAUUGAGUGCUAGCAGUAUCCAGAGUACCAGCGGACACGUGAAACCCGCUGGGAAGAUGGGGGGACCAUCCUCCAAGCCUAAAUACUACUCAGUGACCGAUAGUGGAGCAGUACCGUGAGGGAAAGGUGAAAAGUACCCCGGGAGGGGAGUGAAAGAGAACCUGAAACCUUGUGCCUACAAGCACCGAGAGCACGUUAAAGUGUGAUCGGGUACUUUUUGUAGAACGGUCCGGCGAGUUAAUAUUUGCAGCGAGGUUAAGUAACUGGAGUUACGGAGCCGCAGCGAGAGCGAGUCUGAAUAGGGCGUAUGAAGUUGCAGGUAUUAGACCCGAAACCGGGUGACCUAUCCAUGAGCAGGCUGAAGCGGUGGUAAGACACCGUGGAGGGCCGCACCCACGUCUGUUGAAAAAGCCGGGGAUGACUUGUGGAUAGCGGAGAAAUUCCAAUCGAACUCGGAGAUAGCUGGUUCUCCCCGAAAUAGCUUUAGGGCUAGCGUUAUUUUAGAUUACCGGAGGUAAAGCACUGAAUGGUCUAGGGGCCGCGAGGUUACCAAAGCCUAUCAAACUCUGAAUGCCGGAUAAUUGAUGAAUAGCAGUCAGACUGUGUGAGAUAAGUCUCAUAGUCAAAAGGGAAACAGCCCAGAUCUACAGCUAAGGUCCCAAAUGAACACUAAGUGGAAAAUGAUGUGAAACUGCGAAGACAACCAGGAUGUUGGCUUAGAAGCAGCCACUCAUUCAAAGAGUGCGUAAUAGCUCACUGGUCGAGUGGUUUUGCGCAGAAAAUGUAACGGGGCUAAGUGUUCAACCGAAGCUUAGGCAUUGCAGUAAUGCAUUGGGUAGGGGAGCGUCGUAUGCGGGGCGAAGUCAGAGCGGAAGCACUGGUGGACUGCAUACGAGUGAGAAUGCCGGAAUAAGUAGCGAGAAUUAUGUGAGAAUCAUAAUGGCCGAAAAUCUAAGGUUUCCUGGGGAAGGUUCGUCCGCCCAGGGUUAGUCGGGAGCUAAGCUCAGGCCGAAAGGCGUAGGCGAUGCACAUACGGUAGAAAUUCCGUAACCACCGAACUUUAAGCUAGAGGGACGCUUUCUUUAAGGUUAUCCCGGGCGAUGGUUGCCCCGGGCGUAAGGGACCGAAAUUUAGUAGGGAAGUAACUGGCGAGAGAGACGAGAAAAGCUCUAGUGUAUACUAAGGUGCCCGUACCGCAAACCGACACAGGUAGAAGGGAUGAGUAUUCUAAGGCCAACGGGAGAAGGGUUGUUAAGGAACUCGGCAAAUUGGCCCCGUAACUUCGGGAUAAGGGGCGCCUGCGAGAGCAGGCCGCAGUGAAAAGGCCCAAGCGACUGUUUAGCAAAAACACAGCUCUCUGCUAAAUCGAAAGAUGACGUAUAGGGGGUGACGCCUGCCCGGUGCUGGAAGGUUAAGGGGAGUGCUUAGCGCAAGCGAAGGUGCGAACUUAAGCCCCAGUAAACGGCGGCCGUAACUAUAACGGUCCUAAGGUAGCGAAAUUCCUUGUCAGGUAAGUUCUG
rnacentral:rRNA from 1 species